rnacentral:lncRNA from 1 species
CAGCACCUACAUGGCCAACGCCCUCCGCCGCACAAGUUGAGUGCAUAUGCUAAUGCACAUACGCGGUUUGUGCAUUGAUUCUAAAGUUUUUUUCUUCUGAUGAUAGAAUGGACUUGAUACCAAUGUUGAAAAGUCUAGAAACAAAUGAAGAAAAGGAAAAACAGGGCUAAAAAAGUCAGGGGUGUAAAAAAGGUAAUUGGGGUGUUUGUUUCUUCAACUGUUUUUUCUUGAAUUUAUUUUAUCUAUUAUUUGUGACUUUGCCCACAUUGCAGACCAAGGCUAGAGAGGCUGCCAAGAAAAAGUGAGAUCCCCAUAAAUAUGAACUAAGUUUCAUGCAGCAACAUAAUCAAGCCCCUACUUAUUUACCUCAAUUUAUAUUGUUUGCCAUUGAACUUCAAAUGUGUAAUGUUGAGUUCAUUCUUCUUUUGAAUAUCCAUUUGGAUUUUUAUAUUAUGGACCUACUUUAUCUGUUCCUAUAGAAAUUGAAAUCUGAAUCAGUACCAUGUUAUGUCAUCUAAUGCUUUGAAAAUUGUAUUUACCAAUUAUUGGUCCUUUUUUUUUCUUUGAAUCCUAUAGUCUGUUCAUGUUUGAUUGGAACCACUGGGUUCCAUAGUGCUUGAGUGCUUGGUUUUUCAGGGAUGCGAGUGGCUUGGGGUUGUUCAGCAACUGUUGUUGUGGCUCUUGAUUUGUAGCCAUUGUUCUGUUGUGGGUUUGACCCUUUGGUUUUUUUCGAGCAACAACCCAUUUGGAUUGAAAGAAAAAGGCCCAAAUUCAGGAAAUGGUAAAAGACGAGGUUGAGGGAGAAAGAAGAUGAAGAGAAAGGAGAGAAGAACAAGAAAAAAUAAAAGAAGCAUAAAGAGAAAGAGGUUGAGGGAGAAGAAGAUGAAGAGAAAGAUGAGAAGAAAAAGAAAAAAGAUACAAAGAAGGACCAAUCAUCUUUUCUUUUCUUCUUUGACCCUUUAACUACUCGUCCAACGUGGCAAGUUAACUGGCCACAUCAGCUAGUUAACUGGCCACGUCAGCUAUCCUAUUAAGCCUGUGACGAAAAAUGUUAAUGA